UUAACUCCUUAGAAAUGGUGCAUUCUUGCAAAUUGUUUUUAUUUCCCAGAGGUUAAUAACAUCGAACAUAAGACUAAAUUCGAAUAUAAAAGGUGAUCGAAGUCAUUCCUAGAAUCAUCAGUCAAUCUCUUGCUGUCUAAAACAACAAUACAAUGAAUUUCAACAACAUUUUCGUCAUUGCUGCUUCAAUUAUUUUGGCCUUUGCCUCGGCUGAAGCUAAGCCCGAACCAAAACCAGAACCAUUGCCCGAACCUAUUUUGAAUAUUGUCACUGAUCUUCUUGGUGGACUUUUGGGUGGCCGAUAAACAUUUCUUUAAAUUUCCAUGUUUAACGAAUGACAAAAAUAUAUGAUGUUUUAAUAAAAUUAUAUAAGAAAUA